rnacentral:rRNA from 1 species
UACGUAGGGGGCAAGCGUUGUCCGGAAUCAUUGGGCAUAAAGCGCGUGUAGGCGGACUGUCACGUCUGCUGUGAAAAGCUAGGGCUUAACCCUGGCCUUGCAGUGGAUACGGGCAGACUAGAGGUAGGUAGGGGAGAAUGGAAUUCCCGGUGUAGCGGUGAAAUGCGCAGAUAUCGGGAGGAACACCGGUGGCGAAGGCGGUUCUCUGGGCCUUACCUGACGCUGAGGAGCGAAAGCGUGGGGAGCGAACAGG